rnacentral:rRNA from 1 species
AUUGAACGCUGGCGGCAGGCCUAACACAUGCAAGUCGGACGGUAGCACAGAGAGCUUGCUCUUGGGUGACGAGUGGCGGACGGGUGAGUAAUGUCUGGGGAUCUGCCCGAUAGAGGGGGAUAACCACUGGAAACGGUGGCUAAUACCGCAUAACGUCGCAAGACCAAAGAGGGGGAACUUCGGGCCUCUCACCAUCGGAUGACCCCAGAUGGGAUUAGCUAGUAGGCGGGGUAAUGGCCCACCUAGGCGACGAUCCCUAGCUGGUCUGAGAGGAUGACCAGCCACACUGGAACUGAGACACGGUCCAGACUCCUACGGGAGGCAGCAGUGGGGAAUAUUGCACAAUGGGCGCAAGCCUGAUGCAGCCAUGCCGCGUGUAUGAAGAAGGCCUUCGGGUUGUAAAGUACUUUCAGCGGGGAGGAAGGCGACGCGGUUAAUAACCGCGUCGAUUGACGUUACCCGCAGAAGAAGCACCGGCUAACUCCGUGCCAGCAGCCGCAGUAA